CCUCGGUGGCAGCAGUGGGGAAUAUUGGACAAUGGGCGAAAGCCUGAUCCAGCCAUGCCGCGUGUGUGAAGAAGGCCUUCGGGUUGUAAAGCACUUUCAGUGGGGAAGAAAGCCUUGGGGCUAAUACCCUCGAGGAAGGACAUCACCCACAGAAGAAGCACCGGCUAACUCCGUGCCAGCAGCCGCGGUAAUACGGAGGGUGCGAGCGUUAAUCGGAAUUACUGGGCGUAAAGCGCGCGUAGGCGGUCUGAUAAGCCGGUUGUGAAAGCCCCGGGCUCAACCUGGGAACGGCAUCCGGAACUGUCAGGCUAGAGUGCAGGAGAGGAAGGUAGAAUUCCCGGUGUAGCGGUGAAAUGCGUAGAGAUCGGGAGGAAUACCAGUGGCGAAGGCGGCCUUCUGGACUGACACUGACGCUGAGGUGCGAAAGCGUGGGUAGCAAACAGGAUUAGAUACCCGAGUAGUC
rnacentral:rRNA from 1 species